rnacentral:rRNA from 1 species
UUAGGAAUAUUGCGCAAUGGACGAAAGUCUGACGCAGCGACGCCGCGUGGGUGAGGAAGGCCUUCGGGUCGUAAAGCCCUUUUAGCAGGGACGAAAAAUGACGGUACCUGCAGAAAAAGCACCUGCUAACUACGUGCCAGCAGCAGCGGUAAUACGUAGGGUGCGAGCGUUAUUCGGAAUCACUGGGCGUAAAGCGCAUGUAGGCGGUUCGGUUAGUCCGAUGUGAAAGCCCACGGCUCAACCGUGGAAGUGCAUUAGAUACUGCCGGACUGGAGUGCAGGAGAGGAGAGCGGAAUUCCCGGUGUAGAGGUGAAAUUCGUAGAUAUCGGGAGGAACAACAGAGGCGAAGGCGGCUCUCUGGACUGCAACUGACGCUGAGAUGCGAAAGCGUGGGGAGCAAACAGG